GACGAACGCUGGCGGCGUGCUUAACACAUGCAAGUCGAACGGAAAGGCCCUGCUUUUGUGGGGUGCUCGAGUGGCGAACGGGUGAGUAACACGUGAGUAACCUGCCCUUGACUUUGGGAUAACUUCAGGAAACUGGGGCUAAUACCGGAUAGGAGCUCCUGCUGCAUGGGGGGGGUUGGAAAGUUUCGGCGGUUGGGGAUGGACUCGCGGCUUAUCAGCUUGUUGGUGGGGUAGUGGCUUACCAAGGCUUUGACGGGUAGCCGGCCUGAGAGGGUGACCGGCCACAUUGGGACUGAGAUACGGCCCAGACGCCUACGGGAGGCAGCAGUGGGGAAUAUUGCACAAUGGGCGGAAGCCUGAUGCAGCAACGCCGCGUGCGGGAUGACGGCCUUCGGGUUGUAAACCGCUUUCGCCUGUGACGAAGCGUGAGUGACGGUAAUGGGUAAAGAAGCACCGGCUAACUACGUG
rnacentral:rRNA from 1 species